rnacentral:rRNA from 1 species
UACAGAGGUCUCAAGCGUUGUUCGGAUUCAUUGGGCGUAAAGGGUGCGUAGGUGGCGCGUUAAGUCAGGUGUGAAAUUUCGGAGCUUAACUCCGAAACUGCAUUUGAUACUGGCGUGCUUGAGGACUGGAGAGGAGACUGGAAUUCAUGGUGUAGCAGUGAAAUGCGUAGAUAUCGUAAGGAAGACCAGUGGCGAAGGCGGGUCUCUGGACAGUUCCUGACGCUGAGGCACGAAGGUCAGGGGAGCAAACGGG